rnacentral:rRNA from 1 species
UACGAACUGCGCAAACGUUAUUCGGAAUCACUGGGCUUACAGGGUGCGUAGGCGGCCAGUCAGGUCCGAUGUGAAAUCCCACAGCUCAACUGUGGAACGGCAUUGGAAACCGAUUGGCUUGAGUGAGCUAGAGGUGCACGGAACUUCCGGUGGAGCGGUGAAAUGUGUUGAGAUCGGAAGGAACACCAGAGGCGAAAGCGGUGCACUGGAGCUUGUCUGACACUGAGGCACGAAAGCCAGGGGAGCGAAC